rnacentral:rRNA from 1 species
CAGUAGCCGCGGGAAUACGGAGGAUCCAAGCGUUAUCCGGAAUCAUUGGGUUUAAAGGGUCCUUAGGCGGUCUUGUAAGUCAGUGGUGAAAGCCCAUCGCUCAACGGUGGAACGGCCAUUGAUACUGCAGGACUUGAAUUAUUGGGAAGUAACUAGAAUAUGUAGUGUAGCGGUGAAAUGCUUAGAGAUUACAUGGAAUACCAAUUGCGAAGGCAGGUUACUACCAAUUGAUUGACGCUGAUGGACGAAAGCGUGGGUAGCGAACAGGAUUAGAUACCCGUGUAGUCCCUGUCUCUUAUAC